rnacentral:ncRNA from 13 species
ACCUUCCUUGUCUUGGGGAGCAGAAAUGUCCAAUGAACGUAUAGUGAGGACAUUGCUGCUGACACCAAUGAUAUUAACAUCAGCCCCCGUUUGCUGAUCAUCUCGUGAUUAGCUUUCGGAAUUUUUGGAAAAAGGCCCCCUUACUUUAUAGGGGGUCGU